rnacentral:lncRNA from 1 species
AGGCUGGAAUCGAGAACAAGAAACACUGAUGCCAGAUGAGCGCAAGAGUAGAGGGCACAGCAAUGGAGGCUGCCAAUGGCUUCCAGUCUCAGCUUCACAGAUGAAAAGGACUCAACUUGCCUCUGUAAAACAGCCAUGGAGGUGCAGUGAAGCGGGAUGCAGUUGCAGAAAUAAAUGAGAAUUCCAAGUGGGAAAUAGUAAAAAGAAAGGAG